GUCAGACAGUGUUGAGUUACGGCGCUCGACAACGUGCGCCAAACAGGAGCGUCUCGGACUGAGCUCCCAUCAAGGGCCGGAGCCACUGAGUCACCGGAGAGCGGUGAGUCAGGAGCAAGAGAAGAAGAAGAAGAAGAGGAAGAAAAAUGUUCUGAAUCUCAUUAAUUGUCUGACAUUUUUGUUUGCUUCCACUUUUCAUUGGCACGCUAGGAAGGAAACACGACAACAGAGUGCGAUACGCAGCAGUGUUGGGUUAAAUAAAAUAAACUUCUUAAGGAUUGUAGCUCACAACACGGUGAGAAUAACAUCACAGAAAAUCACCCAGAGGCCUUUUAAUUUUUAGAUCACACAUUUUUUUUUUAGAAAUAUGUAUUUCAUAAUGCACUGUUGUUGCUGCCAGCAUCCCCUUAAAAUGAUCCAGCUUGAAAUGUAAGAAUAAAAUUACAAAGUAAAGACAUAAAUUGAUAAAGAAAAAUAAAUAAAUAAAAUAAAAACAGGCCACUCAAUGAUC